rnacentral:rRNA from 1 species
UUGGAGGGCAAGUCUGGUGCCAGCAGCCGCGGUAAUUCCAGCUCCAAUAGCGUAUAUUAAAGUUGUUGCAGUUAAAAAGCUCGUAGUUGAAUUUCGGGGUUAGUAGGUUGGUCAUGCCUCUGGUAUGUACUGGUCUCACUGAUUCCUCCUUCCUGAUGAACCAUAAUGCCAUUAAUUUGGUGUUGCGGGGAAUUUGGACUGUUACUUUGAAAAAAUUAGAGUGUUUAAAGCAAGCUAACGCUUGAAUACAUUAGCAUGGAAUAAUGAAAUAGGACGUUCGAUCCUAUUUUGUUGGUUUCUAGGAUUGACGUAAUGAUUAAUAGGGAUAGUUGGGGGCAUUAGUAUUCAAUUGCCAGAGGUGAAAUUCUUGGAUUUGUUGAAGACUAACUACUGCGAAAGCAUUUGCCAAGGAUGUUUUCAUUAAUCAAGAACGAAAGUUAGGGGAUCGAAGACGAUCAGAUACCGUCGUAGUCUUAACCAUAAACUAUGCCGACUAGGGAUCGGAUGAUGUUAAUUUUUUAAUGACUCAUUCGGCGCCUUACGGGAAAC